rnacentral:lncRNA from 1 species
GUGGAAUCCUUCUAGUAAACUUCACAUUGUAGAAGCUUCAUCAUCUUCCAAAUGUUUACACAGAUAUCUUGACUGAUUAUUAUUAUUUUUUUUUUUUUGCCCUUUUGCAGCUGAAAACUCAGUCCAGGAGGAGAAGGACCUGUGAUAUUUGGCUUUCCCAGGAAACUCCUACAUUCCUUCUCAAGAUCAAAUCUAAAAACAGGUUUGUAGAAUAUUCACUCCAGCUCUAAGAGAUGGCAGAAGGUGCCAGGAGUCCAUUGCCAGGAACACACUUUCCUCAGUCUCGUAAAUGAAACUGCACAGAUGGCAAAGCUAAGCAAAGGGCACUGCAAGACAGUGGGCAAUGCAGUUCAAAGACGAAGGUGAAAGAUGUAUUUGCUUUCCUGUUUUUCUACUGAAGCAGCAACUGGGACAAGGAAGGAAAUGCUGCCCAAAAGUGAGCCCAGCUAGAAGACAAAUGGCAACAUUUGAAGACGGAGCCCAGGGGUGGUCCCAUGGCUGCCAUCCUGCUCUCCCUCCUGGGGAGACAGUUGUGCAGCAGCCCAUCUCAGAGAGGGCACUGGACCAGUGACAGCAAUGAGAGCCUUCAAGGAGGGCUCUGGCACAGGGAAGCUCAGUUCAUCUGACUUUCAUUAGGGGCCACAGGCUUGUGUGGCACAAACAGGUGCCAUUAGUUAGGUACAACCAGAUGUUUUUGAUGGUGCUUGAGAUGAACCAUGAGCCUCUACAAAGACAGGCUGGUCACUUCUGAUGAAAACUCCACCCUCUAGCCAAGGAUGAUGCUACUCCCAUGCAGGUCCCCAAUGUGGGGGACACUGGAAAUAGCAACCAGGGUUCACCUUCUGCUCAACCAAACUUUAAUCAGACAAAAGCAGACAGCAGCAGCUGAGGAGACACUAGGAUUUUUGCAUCUAUGCAGUAACAGAAUGAAGCUGGAGCCCAUCCGCAGGGAGUCCUCCCCGUGCUCUUGGUGGUGUGGACCAGCUUCCCACCAAGAUGGGAGCCAGAGGAGCCGCCUGGGUCCCAGCUGCCUCACCCCUUCUCCCUGUGUCCACUCUGAAACAGUGGGGACAAGGAGCCGUCUGAGAGAUGAAGCUGCAGUCCCCGCGACCCACCGCAUGUCCAGGACAGAUCAGACCCUCCAGGAAAUACCGCUGGUGAGAUGAGACUGUCUUCUGUCUGGGCAAGGGCUAAUUUGCAUUCAGUCGUGCCCCAGCCUCACUCCUAAAGACACCUGCUCAUUCUGCACAUCAAGGGAGGGCUGGUGCUGCAACUGAAUGGAAAAUACAAUUCAGAGCCAUCAAAAUAAAGGCACGGUCACCUUAGAAAAUGGAAAUGUUCACACUGUUAAAUCCUUCAUGAUAACCCUAGGAGAAUGGAUAAGAUCAAUUACUGUUCCGGGUUUCUUCCAAAUCUGAAUUUCUGCAACAUGGUUUGAUCUCUAUGAAUGACUAACAUUUUC